GUUUGAUCCUGGCUCAGAACGAACGCUGGCGGCGUGGCUAAGACAUGCAAGUCGAACGGACUAUUGCCUUGAGUAAUCGAGACAAUAGUUAGUGGCGAAAGGGUUAGUAAUGAAUAGGUAACGUACCCUGUGCUCCGGGAUAGCGUCAUUCGCCUUCGGGCGAAUUUCCGAAAGGGGCGGUAAUACCGGAUAAUAUCAUGUGUCGAUAGGCACAUGUUCAAAGAUUUAUCGGCGCAGGAGCGGCCUAUUUCCUAUCAGCUUGUUGGUGAGGUAAAGGCUCACCAAGGCGAUGACGGGUAGCGGGACUGAGAGGUUGGCCCGCAACAUCGGGACUGAGACACUGCCCGGACCUCCACGGAGGGCUGCAGUAACGAAUCUUGCGCAAUGGGCGAAAGCCUGACGCAGCGACGCCGCGUGCGGGAAGAAGUCCUUCGGGAUGUAAACCGCUGUCAGGGGUAAGAAAGUCCACUUCGGUGGAUUGAUCUAACCCAAAGGAAGUCACGGCUAACUUCGUGCCAGCAGCCGCGGUAAGACGAAGGUGGCAAGCGUUGUUCGGUAUCACUGGGCUUAAAGCGUGUGUAGGCGGAAAAGUAAGCGUCGCGUGAAAGCCCCCGGCUCAACCGGGGAACUGCUCGACGAACUGCUUUUCUUGAGGCAAGCAGGGGUGCACGGAACUCUUGGUGGAGCGGUGGAAUGCGUAGAUAUCAAGAGGAACGCCGGUGGAGAAAUCGGUGCACUGGGCUUGUUCUGACGCUGAGACACGAAAGCGUGGGGAGCGAACGGGAUUAGAUACCCCGGUAGUCCACGCCGUAAACGAUGUCUACUAGGUCGUGGUGGUUCUGACACCAGCACGGCCGAAGCAAAAGUGAUUAGUAGACCGCCUGGGGAGUACGGUCGCAAGGCUAAAACUCAAAGGAAUUGACGGGGGCUCACACAAGCGGUGGAGCAUGUGGAUCAAUUCGAAGCAACGCGCAGAACCUUACCUGGGUUUGACAUGCUUGGAUGCUUGCCGAGAAACCGGUUAAGCUGCCCUUCGGGGUGAAACUUGCACAGGUGCUGCAUGGCUGUCGUCAGCUCGUGUCGUGAGAUGUCGGG
rnacentral:rRNA from 1 species